GCGUCCCUCGACUUCCCCCCGCGGUCUCUCUUUCUUUGCCCGUUCUUUUCUUCCUCCUUCACAGGACUACGCGGCGAAUCUCUGGCGAGUCACGGCCCCAUCGUCUUCCUCUGGUUUCUCCGGUGUCCCUCCACCCGCCAUCCUCCACGUCCGACGCCACUGCCUGCUCUCUUCCGUUUUCCCGGCACCGCUGUGCUCGGCCCACCCAUAGAUUCUUUAGAUUUUCUCUUCCUCUUUUCAUCCGUUUUGACCAGAUCGAGGGAAAUCAAGAAUCCUCUAGAUUUAUUCAGAUCAAUUUCAUCGUUCUCCAUCUCCUUCGUCUUCUCGCUGCCCGAGCUCCUUUCUAGCCGAUUCAUAUCUAGAUCCUGUGCCCGUACCGCCUCCUAUGGUCACCGGGUAAGGGUACUGUGGAGGUCUGGGUUCCUUGACUCAGCAACUUGCUCUUAUGAGGCACAGAGGCGGCGACGCGGAAUGUGUCAUUGCCGGCGACGGGGUGCGAUUGGGGGCAACAUGCGGAGGGGUGGAGUCCUUGGAGGGGACGAGGUCGAGUGGCUGAGCUUGGUCCCCGCGUUUGCCUCCAGCGAGAAGAGUAUUGUGGGUGGCACAGCGGCGGGGAGAACCUGCUGCGGAUUCUAGACGUGCGUGUGCCUUUUCACGCCUCCCGUCGGUUUUCCUUGCCCUCCACCUCGCCGCGGCGGUCGCCUGUCGUCGUCUUCUGGUGGCUGUGGAGUAUAGAGGAUCCUGCUUCCUUAGAGCUGUUCGCUGAGACGACCACCUCCUGGUGAAUCCAGAGGAGCAGAUGCCGCGCGCCUGGACCGUGCUUGACGCGGACCGGAUAGGGGUCGCCCCGUGGCAGGCUGGCAGCGCCGACGUAUACUUCCGCUACCUGCCUGGAAAUCGAAGCGGAACCCCAAGUGCGUCGAUCAGACGCCAAAUCCAUGGAGGAAAUGGAGCAGAGGCGGCCCCACUUUGUCGAAAUUCUCAGGCAAGCCUCCAUCCAGUACGACGACCCCCAUCCUCAGUUAGCGUGGACACGCCCGCUCCGUAUCCUAGCCAAGGCGGCUGGUGCAGGCACAGAAGGGGUCGACAGGUUGUUGCGGUGGUGUAGUGCCGCUGCGACCAAGGAUGUUGGCGGUCAAAGGUGACAGUGUGGAGGGGCUCGAGCUUGCGGGACGGUGCGCCGCCAAGGUGGUGUUGAGCACUUUAAAACAAUUUUCAAUCGAAUCAGCCACCUCCGUCGCCUUGCAAAUUUCCGUAGGCUCAAACACUUUUCGGAGCACUUCAUGUCUUACAGACAUUUAGCCAAUUGUGUUACUUUGAUUUCACAUCAAGGCUUGAAAUCAUUCGGCUAUGUGGAUGAUUACUGAUAGGCCUAAAUUUCCUGACCGGGUUCUUCUCAUAGAUGAUUUUGUAUUAGAACAAUAUGAAACAGAGAUUACAACUGAAUCAACCCCAUUUUCCGUUUCACUUGCAAGACACCUACACACUGUUAUGUGGUUCUGAGAUGUAUGGAGCGUUUUGGUGUUCUCAUUACAAUGAGCAAAAACUGACCAAAAAGUGCUAAAUAUGCAAGUCUUGACGCUAAAAGAUUUAUCAUCCCAAGAUUCAACUGGAAGGUUCUUGUGUGUGCUGCUCGAAUAUGAAAGUGUAGGCAUCAGAAAAACAAAGCAGAACUUAUAUGAGCUAGAGUUUAUUGUCGAUGAGGCUGAAGAUCAAAGAAGAAGCACAUAUCAGGCGUGCCACCAAGGAGUAGGUUAUCCCCAACACGGUUGGCAAAGGCAUGGAAAUUAGCCUCCUUUUCUCUGACAAACAAGAGGUGACUUUGGUAAAUACUGAUUGCCCUCCAAGUAGAAAUAAUAAGGUUUUCCAAAAAUUGUGUUCUAUGUUUUUACGUCCCAGAUACCAAGUGUAAUGUGCAUACGAUGGCUUCCAGGGAUUGCAUAGUCAGUUUUUAUCUUUGAUGGUGUAAUAAAAGUUGUGACGAGAUCCCAUACA